CCACAGUCUGCUGACCAUCUGAUAAAGGGUGAAUCUGAAUUUCUUCAGCUAGCUGAGACAAAGAGAGAGUGGAGAUGGAGUCCCUUCUACGUCUUUCCUUGCUUAGCUUGGCGAGUGGCAGGAUUUCUCCAGAAAGAUUUGUGAGUUUCACUCUGAGGUAGUAGCCCACUGUGUCUGCUGAGAUUAUCAGACAGAGCAAGAUUUGAUCUGAGUAAAAUCAGCAUGCUCUGUGGACAAGAGACAUGAUUCCUUUGGAACAGCAAUGCUGAUGAGCAACCUGUUCUUCCUACCAAAAAGAACAGGGAUGGAUAUCUUCUAAAUUGGAAGCAAGUGCAUUGACUCUCAGGUCAGGCCAAGCAAAGAUAAAAGGUGGAACAUGCUUCUUUUGCCAACUCCCAAGGAAACUCCAUUAUUCUUUAAAGGUCAUGUGACUGUGAAAAAGCCAAUCUGGGCAGAGAGAGGCAGCCCACAAGGACAAGCUCAGUAUGAGCAGAAAAUGAAGUUGUUACCAGACAGCAAACUGCAGCCCUCGAUUCUUAUGAAUAUUUGAAUGAGUAACUAAAAACAGCUCAGUGAACUCUAAGCAACUGUGACAGCUGAAACUGCCUGGGAAACUAGCAGUCUACAAGGACCGUGAUGAAAAGAUCACCAAUCACAUUUCAACCAACGUUGCCAUGAGUAUAUUGUAAAACAUUAUCAGAUCCAUUGUCUUCAAAUAUUAGUUGAAAAAAAACCUGUUCUCCACCACAAAUUUUUGUGGUAUGGUACCCACAGAACCUUUCAUGAUAUUUUUAAAUGCAUUAAAAUGCAAUGAUUUCUAAAAUCUAGUCAAGGCAAGAGAAUAGGCACAUUUUCUAGACAUUGAAAUAUUGAUGUUGCUGUUGCUUAUACUCAUAGAAAAUUGGCCCUAGUGAAUCUUUCAUGAAUAUCUUUCAGCUAGUUCCACGUGGAAAGAAAGAUGAUGAGAGCAGUUUCCCUGAAGCUAAAAUGUUCUGAAUAAUCUUUAAAAAAAA